ACGAACGCUGGCGGCGUGCCUAAUACAUGCAAGUUGAGCGCUGAAGGUUGGUACUUGUCCCAACUGGAUGGGCAGCGAACGGGUGAGUAACGCGUGGGGAAUCUGCCUUUGAGCGGGGGACAACAUUUGGAAACGAAUGCUAAUACCGCAUAAAAACUUUAAACACAAGUUUUAAGUUUGAAAGAUGCAAUUGCAUCACUCAAAGAUGAUCCCGCGUUGUAUUAGCUAGUUGGUGAGGUAAAGGCUCACCAAGGCGAUGAUACAUAGCCGACCUGAGAGGGUGAUCGGCCACAUUGGGACUGAGACACGGCCCAAACUCCUACGGGAGGCAGCAGUAGGGAAUCUUCGGCAAUGGACGAAAGUCUGACCGAGCAACGCCGCGUGAGUGAAGAAGGUUUUCGGAUCGUAAAACUCUGUUGGUAGAGAAGAACGUUGGUGAGAGUGGAAAGCUCAUCAAGUGACGGUAACUACCCAGAAAGGGACGGCUAACUACGUG
rnacentral:rRNA from 1 species